rnacentral:rRNA from 1 species
CAGCCGCCGCGGUAAAACGGAGGAUGCGAGCGUUAUCCGGAUUUAUUGGGUUUAAAGGGUGCGUAGGCUGUCGGUUAAGUCAGCGGUGAAAUCAGCACGCUUAACGUGUUGUUUGCCGUUGAAACUGUCCGUCUUGAAUGCGCUCGUCGUGGGAGGAAUGUGUGGUGUAGCGGUGAAAUGCAUAGAUAUCACACAGAACACCGAUUGCGAAGGCAUCUCACGAGAGCGUUAUUGACGCUGAUGCACGAAAGCGCGGGUAUCGAACAGGAUUAGAGACCCCAGUAGUCCCUGUCUCUUAUAC